rnacentral:rRNA from 1 species
UACGAAGGGGGCUAGCGUUGUUCGGAAUUACUGGGCGUAAAGGGCGCGUAGGCGGCCAUCUAAGUCAGACGUGAAAUCCCCCGGCUUAACCUGGGAACUGCGUCUGAUACUGGAAGGCUUGAGUAUGGGAGAGGGAUGUAGAAUUCCAGGUGUAGCGGUGAAAUGCGUAGAUAUCAGGAAGAACACCCGUGGCGAAGGCGGCUCUCUGGGACGGUACUGACGCUGAGACGCGAAAGCGUGGGGAGCGAACAGG